ACGACUCAUCCCCACAGAAUCUUAGUGGAAGAUGGCUGUGAUCUGUGUAUUAAUUGUGGGGAUUAUUGUGACUUUUUACUAUCUUGAAGCUAACAAAAGCUAUGUACACUACAUGGAGCUUCUAGGGUAUUCUUUUACUUCAGCAGGGUGAUUGAGAGGCUUGCUCUUGCCGUUCCAGAGCCAUGUGAGGGGAUGAAUUUGAUUAUCUAAGUAGGGAGUAAUAUAUAUAUAUAUAUUUUUUUUUUUUUAUGACCGAGGGACCAUCGGAGAUCAAUCUUCAGGGAUCACACGACCCUCCGGUGAAGAGGGAGUAUUUGACUUUGGAAUUCGUCCAAAAAACUUGUCGAUGACUACUCAGUGCAAAUCUCUCUCAGCAAAGAGAUUAGCAGCUUGGACUUCAAGUCAUUGCGUUUCUCUCCUGUACUUCUAUUUCUACGAAUUUGCAGCCAAAGGUUGGAUGAUAUGAAAAGCUUUUACAUAAUUG
rnacentral:lncRNA from 1 species